ensembl:lncRNA
GGAUAUAGUAAAGUGGUAAAUGCAAAUCAUGGAUGAAAUUUAUAAGAUCGCUUCCACAGAAAGGAUCCAGCAGUUAGAAAAUGAACUGGCUAUGCAACUGACUGAACUAAAGUCUGAGAUAGAAGAACAGGAGACUCAUCGAGCUUACAGCUCUGUUCAAAUACCAAAGGACAUUUCUUACUUCAGAAGAGAAAGGGAACUGGCUCUAAAGAAAACUUUACAGGUGGCUGAGUCAAAGCCCCUUGUUGUUCAAGCAGAUGUCAUGCAGAGGGAGCUAGAGAGCUGCCUAAGAAGAGAGUACACUAAUGAAAAUUUACCUUUGCUUCUGUUGCAGUAUUAUACAGAGAGAAUUACCCAGUUGGCCCAGAGUAAAUAUUUGCACAUGCUUAGAUGGAAGAGGUUUUGCCAGCACAGUAAGAUUAUGGAGCAACUUUAUCCCCUUUACAAGAAACAAGUUGCCUACAUUAUGCAGGAGUACAAUGAUGCCGUCCAGAGAGCUGAAAGAUUGUCUGUUGCACGGGAAAACUUCCUUAUGGGAAAAAGCAAUCCUUCUAACUUAGUGACACAGGAAGACCUGACUAUUUACACAAAGUGGUUUGUGUGUCACCUACACUCACUCACAACCAUUCACCACUACCUACAGUCUCUCCAGUAUUUGCCCAUCUCCAAAGUGCUGAGUGUAGCUGUUAAUGAAGAUCCAGAGGCUGGUCAGGAGGAUGAAAAGGUCUGUGUCGAUGACAUCAACCCUAACAACCAGGGUUCUGUAUCUCCAGGCCCUGUGGAUACCAGCAUUUCAGGGCUGACAAGAACAGAAACUGCUUUUUUCCUGCCCCAACACACAACUGAAAGAGAAGAACUGAAACCUCAGCUGGGGCUCCUGCUCUCCCAUUUCAGUAUCUCCUAUGACGUGGAGUUGCUGAGGGACACUGCUCAGGAGAUGGAGCUUUUUAACUUGGUUUCCAAAAAAUUCCGAAGCAUCUUCAUGGAGCAGCAGAGAAUGCAAACAUUUCCAGAUUAUGAUGCUGAGAUAGCUAAAGUGGAGAAUUUGGGUUUGGCAGGUCCUGGUAUGGCCUUGAAAAAGAGAGCUAACUGGACUUCCUUUAUAAAGAUUAAGCCAAAAUGUGAUCCUUGGCAAAAGAAGAUUUUGACUAGACUAAAAGAAAGGAGAAGAAUAGAUGUAUUAAUGGAACUCCAAGCAAAGUUUUUGAAGAUUUCCAGCCCCGAGCGAGUAAUGCAAGUGCUCCAAGACCACGCUGCAAAGACAAUCAUGCCACCUCCAUCUCGUCCAACUUUCGUGGCUUCCCAGGGUUUGCAUCAGUGCAACUAUGACCACAUCUGGGAGAAUAUUUAUAGCAACAUCAAUCUCUACCAGAAUGAAAAUAUGAGGGAAGAGGACCUUUCAAUGGAACAAAAUGAAAAUGACCUAGCACAAAUAAGUCGCUGCCAACAUGCUGGUGAGCCCGUCAAGCAGAAAAAAGAGACAGGGUAAAAUUAAAUCAUGUUAUUGGUGACUCAAGGAAAUGGAUUAAAUACAGGGAGGGGGUGGAAAUUGAGUGACUGAUUAAUAGGUAGGUUACAUGUUAACUCAAAAAUAUUUGAAGCUGAAAUAAAAGCAAGGCUGUUCAAACA